rnacentral:rRNA from 1 species
CCCUUAGAUGUUCUGGGCCGCACGCGCGCUACACUGACUACUCCAACAAGUUACCUGGGCUGACAAGCAUCCGGGAAAUCUUGCAAAGGCAGUCGUGAUGGGGAUAGAUUCUUGUAAUUUUUGAUCUUCAACGAGGAAUUCCUAGUAAACGCAAGUCAUCAGCUUGCAUUGAUUACGUCCCUGCCCUUUGUACACACCGCCCGUCGCAUCUACCGAUUGAAUGGAGAGGCAAAAUCUUCGGACCGUGACGCUUGGGAGUCAAAUCUCGGGCUGUCGUGGGAAGUGGAUUAAACCUUUCUAUUUAGAGGAAGGUAAAGUCGUAACA